UAGGCUCCUAAAUCAACGGGCAAGGAGCCUGAACCUUGAGUCUUGGUGGAUGAGUUAGUGCUGAUUAUGGUGAAAUUCCCCAGAAGCUGAGAACCUGGAAUCUUUGAUAGCUUCAUAUUCCCAAAGGAAAAGAGGCAGGAUGAAUUCUAGAAAAACUCCUGCCUUUCACUACAGUUUGGCCAAAACUUCUUGGUUUUGACCAGUCAAUAGUUUCUAGACAAAAAUCUGUUUUGUUGGGAAAUUCCCCAGCAAGUGUAACAAGAUCCAUAUUGAAUUGUUAACAUGAUAACAUAUGAGCAAGUAAUAGCUCAUUGCUCAAGUGGAUAGGAGGACUAAAACCAUCUAGAAAAGUAUACACUGAACUCUGAUAAUUAUUUAGUGUCCAGCUUGAGAAUACCAAUGUUAUUAAAGACUUGCUGACUCCAUUGAAAGCAGCCCUGUUGAAUGAUUCUGCCCAAAUGUCUUCACUGUCCUUCCUCUUUCUGUUUGUUUUUGAUUACACAGACCUUACGUGGAGACAGAAUGGUUUUUGUCCAUGAGUUCAUCUGCUUCUCCAUUUGGCUGAACUCCUAGUCCCCUGUAACAUCACUGUGUUCCUCUUUUUGGCUGUCACCCACUGGGAUCAGAGCAUCUUUUAUUUGUUCUCUCUGGAUCAGUCAGGUGGAAGAGUACUACAUCCUCUCUGCAGAGCUUGCUUUCUAAAUGAAGGGAUGUCUUCUCUCAUGCCUAGUUCUAGAGCCCCCAGAAAUAAAUGACAGCUGGGAUGCCAGUCACAGCAAUAGCUGUAGUCACUGAUGAUUUUUAACAUGUCAGCUAAUAAUGUGAGGGGCUACACAAGUCUCAUCCGUCUUUGGUAAACAUCCUUCACAGUAUAAUGGGUCAGGUGAGGAGAAACCACAUGAUAUGUAAGCACGAUUGACUCUGAAAGAAAUAUCCUUUAGGACAGCGGGGAUGUAAAGCCAAUGAGGGAUCUUCAGGAACAGGGAUGAAAGAACAGGGUAUGUUUUUUCUCUCAAAGUUGAAACUGAUUUCAUAGAAUCAUAGAAUCAUAGUUAGGGUUGGAAAGGACCUUAAGAUCAUCAAGUUCCAAUCCUCCUGCCAUGGGCAGAGACACUUCACACUAAACCAUGUCACCCAAGGCUCUGUCCAACCUGGCCUUGAACACUGCCAGGGAUGGACCAUUCAUAACUUCCCUGGGCAACCCAUUCCAGUGCCUCACCACCUUAACAGGAAAGAAUUUCUUCCUUAUAUCCAAUCUAAACUUCCCCUGUUUAAGUUUGAACCCAUGAUCCCUUGUCCUAUCACUACAGUCCCUAAUGAAGAGUCCCUCCCCAGCAUCCCUAUAGGCCCCCUUCAGAUACUGGAAGGCUGCUAUGAGGUCUCCACCCAGCCUUCUCUUCUCCAGGCUGAACAGCCCCAACUUUCUCAGCCUGUCUUCCUACGGGAGGUGCUCCAGUCCCCAGUCAUCCUCGUGGCCCAUUAUUUCAUGGACAUGAAAUGACCUUCACAUGCAUUGCCCUACAUAUGUAUUAUAUGCAUGUUAUGUAUAUAUAAUAUGGGUAUGUAUGUAGCAGAGAUUCACAUUCAAAUAUCACAUGUACUGUUAGUAGAGUCUAACUGUUAAAAAGAAGAAGAUUCAAUGGAUUUACUAAUCAGAUUAUUUCUUUCUAGUUUCUUCCUUCUCUGACCUGGCAGGAAGUGUGAAGUGUUGGUUUAAGGAAUAUUUAAAAGAUUAUGUAAGCUAUCUUUCUCAUAAUAUCUUAAUUUUUAUAGUAAAGCACCUGGGACAUGCUGAAAAGCUCAUUAGCUCCUGCAUGGCAGAGAUAUGAAGCUGCCUAAGGAACUCUCCAGUCAGCUGGCUGUGUAAAAACCUCAGAGAAAAAUCUAAUACAGGGUAAGUCAGCUUAUUGCAGCUUUUGUUGGUUUUGUUGUUUUGUUUUUGUUUUUUUUUGUGGGUUUCCUUUUUUUUUCCCCUCCUGGUGACUGGUUGCAUGAGAGGUUAAGAAAGAGGAAUGAACUUAAAUCCUAACUAGACCUUAAUGUUUCCAAGGAGCAGAUGGACACAGCUUUGCCUCCUCUUUCCUCUGUACCAAAUGGAGUUUAGGACCUGAACGAUAUUUGGGCACUUUAUUACUUGUAAAUAGUAGAGGGUUUAUAGGUAUACCGAUGAGGCAAAGGAGAUGAAAUGUACUACCUUUAGAAGGGGAAUUAAUGUAAUAGCAUUCAUUCCUUUUAUAGAUAAUACUGCUAUUUAGAAUGUCCUAAAGUACAUGAUGUCUUUGCUGAUUUAAUUUCCUGUGUGAGCAAAACGUUCAUAAAGCUACAUAACUGCAUUUUUCAUCCUAUCUCACUGCUGGCAGCAGCAACACAGGUUUCUGGAGUGCUGCAAGCCUUGCUUUGCCUCCAUUUCUAGCUGACUUAAUAGUAAGGAGAAGGGAGUGGAGGGAGAGCAGGGGAACAGAGAGAAAAAGAACAAUGCUGUUGCAAUAAAUUCUUCAUUGAGUUUGUGUAACUCAUAUGCAUUUCUAACCUUCUUCUUGUAUUCCUCAAAAGAUUUAGGCUCCCUGUGAGCUGAUGCUUCCCACCUGAGGUCAUUAAUUGUAAUCCUGAUGGAUGUAAUGAAGUCGUUGAAGUAAUUUUCCUUUUUUCCCUGGGGAGUUGAGCUGAGAAACCAAGACCACCUCUGCCAGUGGGCUUGAAUCUGCUAGACAUCCCUUUCCCUCCCAUUUAUGUUGCACAGUCUCUUUUCCCAUAAUGUGAGGCAAAUUUCCCAUAAUGUGACUGUUAGUGCAUUGGCAAGUAAUGAGUGCUAAGUUGUGUGAUAGACGUUUGGCCAGAGAUUGUCAGACGGGCAUCCUCUGCAUCAUCUUCUGCAAACAGUUCAAGAGAAACAAUUGUGGUAGGGGCCAUUUUGGGCAUGUCCUCUAAGGGAAAAAUUACAGGAGGUAAUUUUGCUGCCUCUGGACUGGCUUAUCUGACUUUUGUAUCCCUUUGUGGUAGAGCAAGCCCUUGUCUUUUAAUCAAUUUAAAGAGUGAGUCAGGGCAAGAGGAGUCUAUUUCCAUAUUAACCACUAUGAGUCAAAGUAAAAAUGAAUGUAAGAUUAGUUGUUUUGCUUAAGUAACACUGUCCAAUCUGAUUAAUAAGUACCCUCCUGUUGACCUCAAAAUAUGCUGUAAAACUUCUUAAAGAUAAGGACCAAAAAAGGUACCAAGACACUUCUGCUAUUCUUAUAUUUGUUUAUUGUACUUCUGCUCCACUUUCCUGCCAAUGGGUUUUCAAAGGAGAAAACUGUAGGACAAAUUAAAGGAAAUAAAAAUGAUUUUUAGAGAAAAUGCUGGACGCUCAGCAGUGGAGUGUAUAUGAAACCAAAGUUUUGCUAUGUACUUUCUUCUAAUACAGAGAUUCCCAUCUCAACAUAUGGGUUGCUGCCCUGCUGUGUAUAGAGAAGCAAUGUCCUCAUGGCUGAACCCCUGAAGGGAUAUAGUAUACUUACACAUGAGAGCUUAAAACAUCCUAUGCAGAGGUUUAAAAGGUCAAGCCCAAAAGCUGUUAGCACCAAGGAAUAUUCAAUUUGGAAACUGAGAAAGGGAAAAGAAGAUAAAGGAGGAGAGAAGACAUUUCUUACAAAUACUCUAAACCCAUCAUCGGUUUUCAUCGUUGUUCUGUUAAUUAUUAUAUUGCAUUUUUGAGUCGCUUGACAUGGGGUGAUGUGAAUCUGCUGCACAGCUCUGCAAGUAGCAAGGAGUGACAGCUCUGCACACUCUAGCCAUGCAUUCUGAGUGAAAGGUAGAGAUACAAGCUGUGCUGAAAGCCUUUUGCCCCAAGAAUGAGGAAAAGCUGCUCUUUUGUCCUGUUCUGCUUUUUCAGGAAUCAGCAACAGCCCUCUUUCAGAUGAUGUAUGAUGGAAGGGUCAAUCUCCUCCUUUUCAGUCUAAGCUUUUCUCUGUAGUGCCGUUUGUCUCAUUUAUUGGCAGUGAUCAGCAGCUUUGUUCAGUGUAUGUGGGACACUUGCUGCAGACUAUUUACAAACAUAAGGGGGAAAAAGGGUGUUGGUGGUGUUUCUGAAUUCAGUAAGUUCUCCUUUUUUGUUGUUUCUAAUGAGUAGCUGAAAAACAAAAUGGGUGUUUUAUUUCCUGAUGAGAGCACAUAUUUGUCUGAAGUAACUUAAAUUGUUUAUUAACAUGAAUCCAUUUGAACAUUUCUUUUUCAGGCACCAUGUGAAAGCUCUUAUUUCUUCCAUGAUGGAUAUUUGUCAUCAGGUCAUGUGAAUGUUCUGGAGAACCAAAGGAUGGAUUGUUCUGUUUUGCCUGCUUGGAUUGUGAAAUAGGAAUAUCCAUAACAUGACAGGGCAUGAAAAAGCCUGAAAUGAAUUAAGGGUGUACUUUAAUGAAUGGGCUUUUCAUUUAGCGGAUUCUUUAUAAAUAACUGUGGUAAAUUCUCUUUCAAUAAAUGCGAAAGGAUGGUUGACACAUACAUUUUAUAUGGGUGGGUACUGGCAAACUAGAACAGAUCAUCAUUCCAGAUAGACCACUUUUUCAAAUAUGUGUUCUAGCUAUUAUAUUUCAGCUGGAAGAAUUGCUCCAGUGUAAAGCCAAUACAAUAUGUACUAUGUUUAGUCUGAUUAUCUCAGCUCAAAACCUGGACAGAUGAGAACAUUCUCAAGAUGGAUGCUCCAGGAAUCAUCAAACUGAUGUGGAUCUCUCAGGCUUCACAGUAAAGUGGGCAGGUUUCUAUCUGCUGGUUUAUUUGCUAAAUUGUGCCGAUGAUAGCAGAGCCAAUGGAUAUUCCAUGCUAAAGGUGGAAGAACUGAGCAGGCAUAUACAAGUAAAACAUGCGAUAAUGCCUAGUGCUCCAUUGAAAUCUAUGCAUGUAUUCAGGUGCUGAGUCCCUCUAGGCAAAAGUUGCACCUGACUGUUUUUCAAGUUUUAAACCAUAAACAAAGAUAACACCUACAAUCCAUUCCUUAAGAGAAAAUUGAAGAGAUCUGUAUCUAAAUGUGAGUAUGAUGGAAAAUGUUGUGACUGUGCAUCUGUUGUAAGUAUUUGAAAACACUGAAUUUUGCCAAGGCAACUGUGCCAGAAAAUGUGGGUCAUUAGAAAGCAAGAUCUGUAAGGAAGCAUGGCCAGUAAGUGGGAUCAUUUUUCUUUUCUGAUCUUUUCAGGAAGUACAGCAGUUAAGGGUAAAUGUACUAUUUGUUCCUUAAGGGCUUACUAACCCAUUUGAAACAGAACCUGAUGUCCAUCUAGACAACUAAUUUCCUAUGAUGAUGUAGGCUUACAUCACUUUUUGCUUUCAGAUGCAUCUCAAAGAGUACCACCAGUGUCCAUGUGCCAGUUUGCGUGGGAAUAGUUUAAGACAACUGAUGCUUGCUGUGUGCUCCUGUUCACGUUAGGGAAUACUGGAGUUGAGCCCUAUAAUCCCAACCCCAAAUAAACAUUUGAGAUUCCUGAUUGCUGGCAGGUUCCUAAAAAAGUCAGGACAUCCAAUGCUAGUCUGGAGAAAUGUUUUUGUGGGAUAUAUGGCAAGAACACUCUUAGUGAUAUCAGUGCCCCUUGCCUGUGGCCACGUUUUUAUUGUUGAAAGUGUUAGUGUGAUUUUUUAGUCUUUGGUGAUCCUUUUGUAUUUUGUAUUAACCUGCCGUUAAGCAUCUAGUUCCAGCUACAGAUACUGACUCAUAACUGGUGAAACACCUCCUACUGCUUGGUGAGGCAAUGGACUGUGAACAAACUUGCUGUCAUCAAUCAAAAUGAUUUCACAAACUUGUUCCUGACUUUUGUUGGCCCUGUGACUUCAGAGCUGAGAAUGCAAAGCAGAAGCUCUGUAGCUUGGGGCUGAAAGUUUGGGUCGGGCUGUUGUCUUCAGGCUGUAAAUUCAUGCCAAGUACUCCCCAACAGCAUUCUUCUCUGCCCUCCCAAAUCACUCAGAGAGCAAACAAACUUUUCCUUGAGUCAUUGAUUCCUACAAGAAAGCAUCUGUGUUUAUUACAUAUGAAUGAAGAAUGGCUAGACUGCACAUUUUACAACUUGCAUCUCUCCAGUGAAAGCUAUAAGUAAGAUCUUGGUCAGCAGAAAGCUACUUUCUCUCCUGUGUAUUUUGAUCUGUGAACAGGACUUCUCCCUUCCCAAAUAGGGUACUGCUGUGCUGGGUAGGGAAAACUGCCUGGCAGUUUUCUAUCUAUCUCCUCUGAACUCAUAAAGCUCUGGGACAUGUUGUGCUAUCUGUAACUGGUUUUACUGCCUGGAUGAAAAGCUUUUGAUGUAAUGAACAGUGUACACAAUGCA